rnacentral:lncRNA from 1 species
GGGUCGUUCGGUAUGGGAGAACUGGGCUUCAUAUAACCUAGUCCAACAGAUGUCCCCAUAGCUAGGCAGGUGAGUUAACUUCUUUCAGUCUCUUCACUGAUCAGUUGGCCACACCCUUCUUUCAUUGUCCCUAUGGGGACUGGGAAGCACGACGAAGCUUGUAUCAAGCACAGUGAGUUGCAGCCCAUUCUAAUACAGCAUAACUAUAGUUUCCCCAUUUUCUUUAAUAAUUGCUUUCUGACCUGUGCAUUUCCCCGCAUGAUAUAAGCAACUGACACUGUUCAGCAUUAAGAAAAAAAAAAAAAAAAGAUAGGUUUUGGUGCAGUUGCCGAUUAAUGCUACUGAAAUCAUUCCGGCGGUGGCAGAGCAUUUCCUGCUACCUGCCCCAAAGUUCUGGGUUCCCGCAUGAAAACACACACAUGCAGCCUUAUAUUUCAAUAUGCCUUAAACAACCCACUUCCCAACCUCCAUAUGGCUAACAUCUUCCCUCCGAUAUUCUUGAGUUCUAACUUAUUAGAAUCUAAUCUUUGUUGCCCUAGAUCUAGUCCGGGAAUCUCCUGAGGCCACUCUCUGUCUCUGUCUUGCCUUUUCAGGCAUGGUGAAUACUCCUUUCCUGGCAUAGCAGCUCUCUCCUUCCCUCUCCCUUUCGGUCCCUUGCCCAGGGAAUCCUAAAAGUUCUGUCUCUCUCCCCAGCCAUUGGCUGCCAGCAAUUUUACUUACCAAUCAAAACCAACUGGGGGCAGGGUCCCUCAGCGUCUUCCCUACAGACAUGCAGAUCCCCCUGUAAUUUGGGAGACUGAGCUAACACAAGUGACAUUAGACCAAAUCUGCAACAGGUCUUCUGUUGAAGGUGAUGCAUUUUUAACAUCCCUGGUUUGGAAACUUUUAGGUUAGAUGACUUGUAAAAGGUUGCAUAUAGUUACUAUGUGAGGGAAGUCUUUUGGUGGAGCCUGUUUUUGCUCUCUACACCCCCUGGAGCCUCUCUUGAUCAUUUUGCCUUCAUCUCUUCAUAUGUUCUGCCCACUCUCUGAUUUUCCUCCAAGCUUAGUCUCUGUAGGUUGGCUUAAAGGGCAAGCCUUAGCUUCGUGUCAAUCAGCCUCCCAGUUCACCAGUUUAUUCUAUAAGCACACUUCCUGCUGAACAUCGGGUGGUGUGCUAGGCAACAGGUCUUGAAAAUGAAUCCAGCUGUGUAGAUUUCAAUAACAUUCACUAACAGGCAACCAUCUACAGAAAAUUAUGCAUGCGUUUUGUUCUAGGACAAAAAUGAUACCUAUGCUCCAGGUUUAAUGGGCACACCACACUUUUGUUAUCCUUUUAGUCCAGAAGGAGAGAGAAGAGUAGAGAGAAGAGAAGAGAAAAGCAAGGGAGAAAGAGGGAAAAGCAAUCUUACAUUAUCCCUGAUAAGGUAGAGAGGCCCAAGGAGAGACAGGCUAUUUCCUCCCUAAGAAGUCUCUUAGAAUAAGUGGCAUUGGGACGGGGUCUUAGAUGAGAGCUAAUCUUACAGAUGCAGAGGCAGAUGGAAAUGGAAUUGCUCGUGAGUGAAAUCAUGUGACUACAUGCUUAGUAAAGUGCUAGCAGGUGCACAGGAAAUGUACCUCUUUAAUUUUUCGGAGGCAAGAGGUACUAGAAGGGAGUGGCGGAAGAACUGAUUGAAAAGUGGACCCAUUGAAAAGUGGACCCAGAUGUCAGAGUGCUCAGAAUCUUCAUUUACAUCAGCUUUCCAUGCAGUCAACAUUUUGCAAAUUUCUGCUAAAGACUGAUAAACAGAGACUGGUCUUUUGCUUGCCCCUCUCAUGCUAGAAAAUGACUCUUUUGCAAAGAAAGUACCUCCUUUGCUUGCCUAGCAAAAUGUUCUUAAGUAUGCCGUCCGUUUAUAUUUCUAGCAUAGCAUACAUAUUUGAUCAUGAGACGGAUCUGGGCAAUUGCACUGCAAGGGUUUGUAGCUUGAGCUGCAGCCUCUGUGGACAUGUGGCUUGCCUUUCUGUGAGGCAAAAGGCAUAUCACAAGCUGCCUUCUCAGCUGUGAAAUGCCACUACUUAGGUCACAUGGCUCAGAUUAAAAAACUGCCAGGAGCAACGCCUUCUCCUUGGCGGAGAGGCGUGCCACCUGUCACCCAAAGCUGCCGGCCCCUCUGGCAUCAUGCAUGGAUAGCUCUGCUACAUUUGUGCAUGUGGGGAGGCUAUGUUCUCUGCCUCUUGCAACGUAUUUUUCUGUGGCAUCAAACAUGGGUAGAAUUCAAUCUGAUAUUAAUUGAAUGAGAGAAUGUUCUUUAUAUUACCAGGACUCAAGUCUUCAUCCAGAAGAGUGGGUUGUCACUCACAGAAGGCAUUUGAGUGAAAACAUUAAUUUGCUCUCAUGUGAAAGAUGGCAUAUGACACACUUAAUUCCACCCAACACCUAACUGUGAUGCCACCCUUGGUGACAGGCUAAGGUCACCGUUUAUGCCACUCCUUUAAUAGUGUGCAUAGUCUCAGAGAACAUUGCCAGGACCAACCAGAAUAGAUCUGGCUUCAUCAAAUUUUAUGGCAUAUAAAACGAGAACUAUAAUUCAUGUCUUCAUGGGCAGACAAUACAUCCUGUACAAUGCAAUGUAGUUUAGAUUUCUUCCAUAUCUGUGAAGGUCUAACAUGGUGUAAGGUCCCCCAAAGUGCUUGGCUAAUAUUUGUCUUAUGAAUCAUCAAAGGGUACUCUUGGGAAAAUUAAUAGGCAUUUGGUCUGCUUAGGAUUUUGAAAUCUGUGGCUUCCUAUUUCUCUAUGAAAGACCUAUUGAAAAACCAAGUAUGCCUUCAGGAAAAGGUAUGAGUUUUUCCUGAUAUAACAAUACCAUUUGGGCACAUGUGUGGUGCUAAAGUGC